rnacentral:tRNA from 1 species
UUAGCUCAGCUGGGAGAGCAUCGCCCUUACAAGGCGAGGGUCGGGGGUUCGAUCCCCUCA